UGUUUACGUCACGCUCACGUGAUGGCCAACAGGCCUUGAUUCUAGAAUCGGGGUGUGUCAAUUUAACCCGGAAAGGUUGGAGGAGAGAAACUGUCACAGCCCGUCCCGAAAGUUCAGUUAUCUUGGAUGUGAUUUGACGGAAUUGCCCUUAAAGGUUACUAAGGGGAAGGACACACACACUCAAAACAAACCUCACACUCUCUCCCCCAUGCCCUCUCUCUCUUCCCUCUCAGUUUCUCUCUCUCUUCCUUCGACUGUACGGACACACCCACCCAUGAACAUCCAGGCACGGAUCAAAGGUUUCAAGGGCAUCAUUGUGUUCAUGAGGUACCUACGAACGCAUCCAUACCCAUUUCAGGGAAUUCUAAGCCUACAGGGAGUUUAGUGAGGUCCCAAGGAAG